rnacentral:ncRNA from 1 species
CUCAGGUCUGUGGUUGAAAGUCGAUGCCAGUCGCAGGCGAAACGACCCACGUAACCCGGUCAAAGACCGGUGAGCAUGGUGCGGCUUAGAUGUUAGUCCGGCCAGUCCAGCGCUGAGAGGGCUAGUAGUGGGGGGCAAUGCCUAGGAGCGAACGUCCCAGCCGGCGGGUGUGGGGGCAAAGACCAGGUCAGCUGAA